CACACUUUAUUUAUUUAUAUUUUAUUUUUUUAUCUUCAAGGCUUGAAUCUCAUGCUCUAGGUUGAUGACCCUAUGUGAUCUCCAAAUUCGCUCUUAAUCUCCAAAUUCGACUCCGUCAAUGGAGUCUCUAAGAAAUCAAGUGGCAGUGCCAGACUUGUAAUGACGACUAUUAUGGGAAUGGUCUUCGGAUAUUUUAUUGGAGUUUCAUUCGCAUCUGUUUCUCUUACUAAGGAUUAUGCCAUGGAGUUAGAUGAGACACACAUACAAAAUGCAGCACACUUGAUGGUUGCCAGUUUAGCUGGAAGUUUAGCUCAUGUAACAUGCAAGAUUGGAUUGGGGUGGCAUUUUUGACGUGCAACAAUGAUGUAAUUUGCUUGAAUGUUCAUUUUGUUUAAUAAGGAUACACAUACUUUGUGGAGUUGCACUAGUUAUUGUUGGAUGUUUGGUGGAAUUGUACAAGUUAUAACUUUUGGAUA